rnacentral:rRNA from 1 species
AUCGANCUAUCAUGCAGUCGAGCGGACAGAUGGGAGCUUGCUCCCUGAUGUUAGCGGCGGACGGGUGAGUAACACGUGGGUAACCUGCCUGUAAGACUGGGAUAACUCCGGGAAACCGGGGCUAAUACCGGAUGCUUGUUUGAACCGCAUGGUUCAAACAUAAAAGGUGGCUUCGGCUACCACUUACAGAUGGACCCGCGGCGCAUUAGCUAGUUGGUGAGGUAACGGCUCACCAAGGCAACGAUGCGUAGCCGACCUGAGAGGGUGAUCGGCCACACUGGGACUGAGACACGGCCCAGACUCCUACGGGAGGCAGCAGUAGGGAAUNUUCCGCAAUGGACGAAAGUCUGACGGAGCAACGCCGCGUGAGUGAUGAAGGUUUUCGGAUCGUAAAGCUCUGUUGUUAGGGAAGAACAAGUACCGUUCGAAUAGGGCGGUACCUUGACGGUACCUAACCAGAAAGCCACGGCUANACUUAUCGUGCCAGCNNAAGCCGCNGGGUUNAAUACGUAUNGGGGUGGCAAAGCGUUGUUCCGGAANUUAUUUGGGCGNUAAAAAGGGCUUCCCACGGCGGGUUUCUUUNAAAAUCUUGAAGUGGAAAACCCCCCCGGCUNCAACCCGGGGAGGGGUCAUUGUGAAACNUGGGGAACUUUGAGUGCCAAAAAAANGGAAAAGUGGAAAUUUUCCACNGUGUAACNGGUGAAAAUCCGUAAAAAANUUNGGGNGGNAACCCCCNNUGGGGGNAUGGNGNAUUNUUUGGUNUCUUUAACUGANCCUUAANNNNGGNAGCNAAANNGCGUGGGGAGCGNNNAACAGAAAUUAAAAUACCCCUGGGAGUNCCACCCCCCGUAAACGANUAAGUGCUAAGGGUUAAGGGGGUUUNCCGCCCCUUAGUGCUGCAGCUAACGCCAUUAAGCCACCCCCCCCUGGGGAGUANCGGUCCCCAAAACUUGAAACCCCAAAGGAAUUUUNGACGGGGGCCCCCACCAAAGCCGGUGGAGNCAUGUGGUUUAAUUNGAAGCAACGCGAAGAACCUUACCAGGUCUUGACAUCCUCUGACAAUCCUAGAGAUAGGACGUCCCCUUCGGGGGCAGAGUGACAGGUGGUGCAUGGUUGUCNUCAGCUCGUGUCGUGAGAUGUUGGGUUAAGUCCCGCAACGAGCGCAACCCUUGAUCUUAGUUGCCAGCAUUCAGUUGGGCACUNUAAGGUGACUNCCGGUGACAAACCGGAGGAAGGUGGGGAUGACGUCAAAUCAUCAUGCCCCUUAUGACCUGGGCUACACACGUGCUACAAUGGACAGAACAAAGGGCAGCGAAACCGCGAGGUUAAGCCAAUCCCACAAAUCUGUUCUCAGUUCGGAUCGCAGUCUGCAACUCGACUGCGUAAUGCGAAUCGCNNNUAU